GGAGAAACUAACUUGUGAAGCUUCCUUGAGAUGGCUACUUAUGUGAACAGAAAUACGGAUAAGGAAGCAUAUCUGGUUCUAAUUUCUGAACUCAACACCAGAUGUUUUCAAGGCAGCACAGUGGUAAAGAAUCCGCCUCCAAUAUAGGAGAUGC